GGACAACAGCCAGCAAGACAGUGAGGACUUCGGUUGUACAACCACAGGGAAAUGAAUUAUGCCGACAACCCUAAGGAGUAUGAAGCUGUUCUGUUCCUAGCCCAGUGUCUCCAUGAGGAUGCAGUCAGUGAACAACAUGAUUUCUGCUUUCUGAGACCCUGAACACAGGACCAACUGACACACACUGGACUCCUGGCCUAUGCAAAACGAUCUGAGCCCCUUUUCUCCUGAUUAAUCCACUGCAGGCCUAGAGCCAAGCUGCCCUGUUUAUUAAAAGGGGAUACCCACUACAGCAUCCACUGAAGAUACACUUCGAGAUUUCAGACUUCCAGCCACAAGAAGACGGCAAGUGAAGAAAAUAGGAGAAAGUGAAUAGACUUUAAGGCAAAGUCUUGAGAACUUCUUAAGAAUUGAAAGGGACCAAUCUCCUGAGCUUAUGAAAAGAAAGCAACAAAAAACUGAAUAACCAAUUCUAGGCCAAAACAGUUGAGAAGAGUAAAAAGGAAAGAAUGAACAAAAAGCAAACAUUUACUUUAGUAAUUUUAAAUGUUUCAAGAUUAAAAAAAAACAAAAUA
rnacentral:antisense_RNA from 1 species